rnacentral:tRNA from 1 species
GGGAAGUUAGCUCAGUGGUAGAGUGCUUGCCUUGCAUGCAUGAGGCCCUGGGUUUGAUUACUCA